CGGCCGCAUCUUGUUGAAACACCACUUCCCAUACAAUCACUGAAGUUAAGCAAUGUUGAGCCUGGUCAGUACGAAGAUGGGUGACCGCUUAUGAAAACCAGGU